UUACAUACAUAUGCACUCACACGGACCCUCGUGUGAGUAUAAAAAAAGACGGAAGCUGCUCCUUUCGUAACCAGAGCGAACUCCGUUCACAACAAAAAUUGUAAGCACACACAUACACAAAUUUCCUCUUCCACCCAAACCAUGGGCGGCUCGCAAAGUAUUCCCACAUCAAGUUACGGAUGCGGAGGAAAUGGUGGUAAAUUUUCGGGCGGCGGCAGUGGCCGAUUUGAAAUCUUGAACAAAGAUCAUUUCCCGCAACAAGUUACCAGGCAGAAUGUGCAGGCAGGAAAUGGGGGGGCGGGGGGAUGGUUGGGUGCGCAAGGUGGGUCGGGAAAUUACUCCGGAAAAAACGGGGAGUCCGGUUCGAAAUCUUAGCGGAAUCUUGAAUAUGUAGAUAUUCAUUUUUUAUUUUAUGCAAUGUCAUCCUGUACGUAGUGGUUAUGCAAUUCGGUAUAUUUUGCGUAAUAAAUUAUACUUUUAUGUACAA